rnacentral:lncRNA from 1 species
UAGGGACCCAUAUGACCUUAUAUGACCCAAACACAUGUACAUCAUUAUGGCAUGCCGAUAUUUGCCAUGGUGAAGGAUGUGAGAUUAAUAGAGGAAUUACACACGGGCAUUGGUUUGGCAGGAAAGCAAGGUGUGUGAUGAAACAGUUAUGUCGAUAGCUGAUGGGCUUCCAAGGAGAGCCAAUAGUGGAGGUUGCACCAUAAUAAUCAGCCAGGUGUUUUUCGACAUGAGCCGAAGUGGAAAUUCUUAGAAUGGUUUAUUCUAAGUGGCGAUACUCUUUAUGGUGCAGUAUGACAGGUGUUCAGCAAUGUGGAGUACGACGGAUAGCUGCUGCUAUGAUCAUUUUUAAUCAAGCUGGAGUUUGUUGGGAUUUUGCUUAAAAAUGAGAAUGG